rnacentral:rRNA from 1 species
CCUACGGGAGGCAGCAGUGGGGAAUAUUGCACAAUGGGGGAAACCCUGAUGCAGCGACACCGCGUGAGUGAAGAAGUAUUUCGGUAUGUAAAGCUCUAUCAGCAGGGAAGAAAAUGACGGUACCUGAUUAAGAAGCACCGGCUAACUACGUGCCAGCAGCCGCGGUAAUACGUAGGGGGCAAGCGUUAUCCGUAUUUACUGGGUGUAAAGGGAGCGUAGACGGCAGGACAAGUCUGGAGUGAAAUGCCGGGGCUUAACCCCGGAACUGCUUUGGAAACUGGGCAGCUAGAGGGCAGGAGAGGUAAGUGGAAUUCCUAGUGUAGCGGUGAAAUGCGUAGAUAUUAGGAGGAACACCAGUGGCGAAGGCGGCUUACUGGACUGUAACUGACGUUGAGGCUCGAAAGCGUGGGGAGCAAACAGGAUUAGAUACCCCAGUAGUC